rnacentral:rRNA from 1 species
UAACGCGUGGGUAACCCUUCCUUGUACAGGGGGACCACAGUUGGAAACGACUGCUAAUUCCGCAUAAGCGCACAACUUUGCCAGAAACCGUGUGAAAAGUUUUUUCGGUACAAGAUGGACCCGCGUCUGAUUAGCUAGUUGGUGAGGUAACGGCCCACCAAGGCGACGAUCAGUAGCCGACCUGAGAGGGUGACCGGCCACAUUGGGACUGAGACACGGCCCAAACUCCUACGGGAGGCAGCAGUGGGGAAUAUUGCACAAUGGGCGAAAGCCUGAUGCAGCGACGCCGCGUGAGCGAAGAAGUAUUUCGGUAUGUAAAGCUCUAUCAGCAGGGAAGAUAAUGACGGUACCUGACUAAGAAGCACCGGCUAAAUACGUGCCAGCAGCCGCGGUAAUACGUAUGGUGCAAGCGUUAUCCGGAUUUACUGGGUGUAAAGGGAGCGUAGGCGGUUUUACAAGUCUGAUGUGAAAGCCCGGGGCUCAACUCCGGUAUUGCAUUGGAAACUGUAGAACUAGAGUGUCGGAGGGGUAAGUGGAAUUCCUAGUGUAGCGGUGAAAUGCGUAGAUAUUAGGAGGAACACCAGUGGCGAAGGCGGCUUACUGGACGAUUACUGACGC